rnacentral:rRNA from 1 species
UAGGGAAUCUUCGGCAAUGGACGGAAGUCUGACCGAGCAACGCCGCGUGAGUGAAGAAGGUUUUCGGAUCGUAAAGCUCUGUUGUAAGAGAAGAACGAGUGUGAGAGUGGAAAGUUCACACUGUGACGGUAACUUACCAGAAAGGGACGGCUAACUACGUGCCAGCAGCCGCGGUAAUACGUAGGCCCCGAGCGUUAUCCGGAUUUAUUGGGCGUAAAGCGAGCGCAGGCGGUUAGAUAAGUCUGAAGUUAAAGGCUGUGGCUUAACCAUAGUACGCUUUGGAAACUGUUUAACUUGAGUGCAGAAGGGGAGAGUGGAAUUCCAUGUGUAGCGGUGAAAUGCGUAGAUAUAUGGAGGAACACCGGUGGCGAAAGCGGCUCUCUGGUCUGUAACUGACGCUGAGGCUCGAAAGCGUGGGGAGCAAACAGGAUUAGAUACCCUGGUAGUCCACGCCGUAAACGAUGAGUGCUAGGUGUUGGGUCCUUUCCGGGACUCAGUGCCGCAGCUAACGCAUUAAGCACUCCGCCUGGGGAGUACGACCGCAAGGUUG